UACGUAGGGGGCAAGCGUUGUCCGGAAUUAUUGGGCGUAAAGAGCUCGUAGGCGGUCUGUCGCGUCUGCUGUGAAAACUCGGGGCUUAACCCCGGGCCUGCAGUGGGUACGGGCAGACUAGAGUGCGGUAGGGGAGACUGGAAUUCCUGGUGUAGCGGUGAAAUGCGCAGAUAUCAGGAGGAACACCGGUGGCGAAGGCGGGUCUCUGGGCCGAUAUUGACGCUGAUGCGCGAAAGCCAGGGGAGCAAACGGG
rnacentral:rRNA from 1 species